rnacentral:rRNA from 1 species
UGGGGAAUUUUGGACAAUGGGGGAAACCCUGAUCCAGCCAUCCCGCGUGUGCGAUGAAGGCCUUCGGGUUGUAAAGCACUUUUGGCAGGAAAGAAACGUCAUGGGUUAAUACCCCGUGAAACUGACGGUACCUGCAGAAUAAGCACCGGCUAACUACGUGCCAGCAGCCGCGGUAAUACGUAGGGUGCAAGCGUUAAUCGGAAUUACUGGGCGUAAAGCGUGCGCAGGCGGUUCGGAAAGAAAGAUGUGAAAUCCCAGAGCUCAACUUUGGAACUGCAUUUUUAACUACCGGGCUAGAGUGUGUCAGAGGGAGGUGGAAUUCCGCGUGUAGCAGUGAAAUGCGUAGAUAUGCGGAGGAAAACCGAUUGCGAAGGCAGCCUCCUGGGAUAACACUGACGCUCAUGCACGAAAGCGUGGGGAGCAAACAGG